rnacentral:rRNA from 1 species
UACAGAGGUGGCAAGCGUUGUUCGGAAUACUGGGCGUAAAGGGCGCGUAGGCGGCCUUCUAAGUCAGACGUGAAAUCCCCCGGCUUAACCUGGGAACUGCGUCUGAUACUGGGAGGCUUGAGUAUGGGAGAGGGAUGUAGAAUUCCAGGUGUAGCGGUGAAAUGCGUAGAUAUCUGGAGGAAUACCGGUGGCGAAGGCGGCAUCCUGGACCAUUACUGACGCUGAGGCGCGAAAGCUAGGGGAGCAACGGG